GUCCAUUAGCUUCUGAUGGUUCGUGUGGAUGUGUGCAUGAGAGGUACAUGGACAGUGGUUCUGAGCAUAGUCUGCCCAACGUCUUGCCUUUUAAAGCUGUUUCUCGGGAGUUUGUGGACAAUCUCACCGGUGCAGAGCAUCUGCUGUCUGUGUUGCAUUUGGAAGUUAAGUAUUCCCCCGUGGCUGCAGUGCGGAGUGCUCAGGUUUCUUCUGAAAGAGGCCUAAGAAAGGGGGAUUGUGUGUUCCUCCUACACAGGUCAGCACAGUCGCAGCAAAUGGCAGUACCAGGGAGCAAACCACACCUCUCUUGCUCUCUUCAUGCUCCUCAUCCUGCGGUUGAGCCAGGACGGAGCACGAUGCCAUCAUUUCCAGGACCCGGCCUUUCUCCCCUGCUGUCUGUCUCUCCCCAUUUGGUGGAGUGUGAUCUGCAGAACGUGUGCUCGGCAGCAAUCCUGUUAGGUUAGCAGCGUGUGGAGGAGAACGUGGCCGUGGUUUGCACCCGCAACUGCUAAGCAGUCAGUAAAGGGAAGGGGAAAUGAGCAGGACGUCAGCCUUGCAUUUGUGCUGCAGGGAUGGUUGCCUAACGAGCACCGAGGCUCGUUUCCUGUGAGGUGACGCAUGUGCUGCUCCGAGUGCCUGGGCUCAUCCUCGGGACAAAUGUGCUGAAAGCAGCCAGCACGUGGCUUCCAGUCUCGUUUGGUGUGGGUGAGCCUGUGCAAGCUUGUAGGUGCUCACGUCUUCUCACAGUCACUGAGUGCUGCUCCCUGGAGCUGACUCUCCCGUGUCUUGUCCGAAAAGACCCUGAAGAGCAGCCGCUAGCAGCGUUCCCCGUAUCUGCUGAAAGGCAGCAUCUGUUUUGCUGCGCUGCUCCGUGUAGAAGGUGCAAGUAAUUUGCAAGCUGAAGAGAACCUUCCAGAAACAGAAGGUUAUCUUGGUUCGGGGAGGGAUCUGGCUUGUAAAACCUCUUCUAUCGUAUUUUACAGAUGAGACAGUGACCCGAAAUGCGCAGGGUUCUGCUUUUAUUUCACUGCGAAGGUAGGGCUUCCCAGUGCUCCGUAACGCAUCGAGACAUGCAGGCACUGGUGACUCAUCUGGGAGAGUUGCUGCUGCUAUUUACUGUCGCACACCUGGGUGUUUGGGAGGUCUCCAGACAGUGCCACAAACCCUUUCAUAGCUUCCAUGGGAUCACGCGCUGCAGUGGGAGAGGCUUCUUGCUUUAGUUGCGUCUAGACUCUUACUUCAGUGCUUGUGACCAGAGGUUUCUUGCCUAGCCAGAGCCCCUUGUGGCUCUUUUCGUUGCAUCAAAUGUUUGCUCCUUGGUUUCCCUGACGUGUCGCAAGUUUGUAUUGGAGCUUUUGGUACCAACGAGGAUAACAAACUUGUACGCACGGCUUCUGCUCAGUGACUAGUGGGGGACUGAAGUGCCAAAAUCUAGAGCUGUUCAGUUGAGCAGCUGAAUCCUCUUCCAUAGGCUUUCCCGUUAGGGUCCUUCAAGCUGCCAGUUUCUUUUUUGACCCAGGGGCCCCAUAAUCCUUGCUGACAAUUUAUACUGCAUGAUGGGUGUCUCCAGAUUUCCCCUGCUUGUGCUGGAUAUUAAGGAAGUGUUGAAGCAAGGAAGGUGGCACCGUGAGGCCUGAUCAAUGCAGGACUCGGUUAAGGUGCUGUGGAAGAAGUAACCGUGUCACAAGGAAGUGCCUCGUUUCCUCUUUAAUGCAAGCAAGGGGAUGGGGCAACUGACCGAGCUCUCUUUUCUCCCCACGUUUCUCCUUUCUUUUUCAUUUCUUUUUCAUCGUUUCCUCAAGUAGGUGGUCAGGACGUGUAGUGCUGCAGCCAAGAGGAUGUUGGAGCUCUGGAAGAGGAGAACUGUUGGAGGAGGAAGCCCAGAGCCGUUGGGCCCUGAGAGAUCUGAGCGACUGGGAUUUCUCAAUCCUUAACCGCAGAAAUGAGGAAGAGGAACAGUAGAAGGUGGAGGUGAUUCCAGUCUGCUGUUGGAAGAGCUGUUCAGUGGAUAGAGAG